GGCUCAGGAUGAACGCUGGCGGCGUACCUAACGCAUGCAAGUCGAACGAGGAGCGUGUAGCAAUAUGCACUCCGAGUGGCAAACGGGUGAGUAACACGUGGGUAAUCUACCCUCCAGUGGGGAAUAACGGACCGAAAGGUUCGCUAAUACCGCAUGGGGUCUGACCCAACGCAAGUUGGGGGGACCAAAGCCUUUGGGCGCUGGAGGCGGAGCCUGCGGCCGAUCAGGUAGUUGGUGGGGUAACGGCCUACCAAGCCGCCGACCGAUAGCUGAUCUGAGAGGAUGACCAGCCACACUGGCACUGUGACACGGGCCAGACUCCUACGGGAGGCAGCAGCGAGGAAUAUUGCGCAAUGGGCGCAAGCCUGACGCAGUAACGCCGCGUGCGGGAUGAAGACCUUCGGGUUGUAAACCGCUUUUCCUGCGGACGAGUGAGGACGGUACGCAGGGAAUCAGUCUCGGCUAACUACGUGCCAGCAGCCGCGGUAAGACGUAGGAGGCGAGCGUUAUCCGGAUUCACUGGGCGUAAAGCGCAUGUAGGCGGUUCGACAAGUCGUGUGUGUAAGCCCCUGGCUCAACUGGGGGAGGUCAUGCGAGACUGUGGGACUGGAGGGCAGCAGAGGCGUAUGGAACUCCCGGUGUAGCGGUGGAAUGCGUAGAGAUCGGGAAGAACACCAGUGGCGAAGGCGGUACGCUGGGCUGCACCUGACGCUGAGAUGCGAAAGUGUGGGGAGCAAACAGGAUUAGAUACCCCGGUAGUCCACACCUUAAACGAUGAGCACUAGGUGUGGGGGGGAAGACCCUCCGUGCCGUAGCCAACGCGUUAAGUGCUCCGCCUGGGGACUAUGAGCGCAAGCU
rnacentral:rRNA from 1 species